UCCGAUUUGUCACCGGCAGUCUCCUAUGAGUCCCCGUCUUUCACGCUGGCAACAUAGGACAGGGGUUCCUACUGCGACCAUGUCAAGCCUAGGUGAGGUUCUUCGCGUUGCAUCGAAUUAAACCACACGCUCCGCUGCUUGUGCGGGCCCCCGUCAAUUCCUUUGAGUUUUAGCCUUGCGGCCGUACUCCCCAGGCAGGGCACUUAGUGCGUUAGCUGCGGCACCGGAGGGGUCGAUACCCCCGACACCUAGUGCCCACCGUUUACGGCGUGGACUAC
rnacentral:misc_RNA from 1 species